GAUGAACGCUAGCGGCAGGCUUAAUACAUGCAAGUCAAGGGGGUAGCAAUACAACCGGCGCACGGGUGAGUAACGCGUACACAACAUACCAUAUACUGGAGUAUAGCUUUGGGAAACUGAAGGUAAUCCUCCAUAACAUUGCGAGAGGGCAUCUGAUUGCAAUUAAAGUUUCGGCGGUAUAUGAUUGGUGUGCGUUUGAUUAGCUAGUUGGUAGGGUAACGGCCUACCAAGGCGACGAUCAAUAGCUGGCGUGAGAGCGCGACCAGCCACACUGGAACUGAGACACGGUCCAGACUCCUACGGGAGCAGCAGUAGGGAAUAUUGGACAAUGGAGGAAACUCUGAUCCAGCCAUGCCGCGUGAUAGAUGAAGGCCCUGUGGGUUGUAAAUAUCUUUUA
rnacentral:rRNA from 1 species